rnacentral:rRNA from 1 species
UAGUCCACGCCGUAAACGAUGGACACUAGCUGUUGGGAUUAAUCUCAGCGGCUAAGCGAAAGUGAUAAGUGUCCCACCUGGGGAGUACGGCCGCAAGGUUAAAACUCAAAGAAAUUGACGGGGGCCCGCACAAGCGGUGGAGCAUGUGGUUUAAUUCGAUGCAACGCGAAAAACCUUACCUACCCUUGACAUCCUCAGAACUUGUUAGAGAUAACUUGGUGCCUUCGGGAACUGAGUGACAGGUGCUGCAUGGCUGUCGUCAGCUCGUGUCGUGAGAUGUUGGGUUAAGUCCCGCAACGAGCGCAACCCUUAUCCCUAGUUGCCAGCACAUUAUGGUGGGAACUCUAGGGAGACUGCCGGUGACAAACCGGAGGAAGGUGGGGAUGACGUCAAGUCAUCAUGGGCCCUUAUGGGGUAGGGGCUACACACGUGCUACAAUGGGUCGGUACAGAGGGGUUGCCAAGCCGCGAGGUGGGAGCUAA